GAUGAAGAACGUAGUGAAAUGCGAUAAGUAAUGUGAAUUGCAGAAUUCAGUGAAUCAUCGAAUCUUUGAACGCACCUUGCGCCCUUUGGCUAUUGCGAAGGGCAUGCCUGUUUGAGUAUCAUGAACACCUCAACUCUCAUGGUUUGCCAUGAUGAGCUUGGACUUUGGGGGUCUUGCCGGCCUAUGGGUCGGCUCCUCUCAAAUUAAUCAGCUUGCCAGUGUUUGGUGGCAUCACAGGUGUGAUAACUAUCUACGCUUGUGGUUUUCCAUCAGGUAACCUUCAGUGAUGGAGGUUCGCUGGGGCUCAUAAAUGUCUCUCCUCAGUGAGGACAGCUUUUUUGAACGUUUGAUCUCAAAUCAGGUAGGACUACCCGCUGAACUUAAGCAUAUCAAUAAGCGGAGGA
rnacentral:misc_RNA from 1 species